ACAAAUCCAUCCUGUUGAGAAAAAAUGAAAGGAUAUGGGGAGAGGAGUGCCCUCCAUACCCCAUGCAUGCAGGAAAGAUGGGGCUUAGCCCUGAAGUUUUCAAGGGAUCCCCAUGCGUGCGGGCAAGGCUGGGGUGCCCUCCUGCUGGGGAGGGGACCCCGUGCGUGGAGGUGAGAUGGGGCUUAGCUCUGAAGUUUUCAAGAGAUCCCCAUGCGUGCAAGCGAGGCUGGGGUGCCCUCCGGUUGGGGAGGGGACCCCGUGCGUGGAGGUGAGAUGGGGCUUAGCUCUGAAGUUUUCAAGAGAUCCCCAUGCGUGCAGGCAAUGCUGGGGUGCCCUCCUGCUGGGGAGGCGACCCCGUGCGUGGAGGUGAGAUGGGGCUUAGCUCUGAAGUUUUCAAGAGAUCCCCAUGCGUGCAAGCGAGGCUGGGGUGCCCUCCUGCUGGGGAGGGGACCCCGUGUGUGGAGGUGAGAUGGGGCUUAGCUCUGAAGUUUUCAAGAGAUCCCCAUGCGUGCAGGCAAUGCUGGGGUGCCCUCCUGCUGGGGAGGGGACCCCGUGCGUGGAGGUGAGAUGGGGCUUAGCUCUGAAGUUUUCAAGAGAUCCCCAUGCGUGCAGGCAAGGCUGGGGUGCCCUCCUGCUGGGGAGGGGACCCCGUGCGUGGAGGUGAGAUGGGGCUUAGCUCUGAAGUUUUCAAGAGAUCCCCAUGCGUGCAGGCAAUGCUGGGGUGCCCUCCUGCUGGGGAGGGGACCCCGUGCGUGGAGGUGAGAUGGGGCUUAGCUCUGAAGUUUUCAAGAGAUCCCCAUGCGUGCAGGCAAGGCUGGGGUGCCCUCCUGCUGGGGAGGGGACCCCGUGCGUGGAGGUGAGAUGGGGCUUAGCUCUGAAGUUUUCAAGAGAUCCCCAUGCGUGCAGGCAAGACUGGGGUGCCCUCCUGCUGGGGAGGGGACCCCGUGCAUGGAGGUGAGAUGGGGCUUAGCUCUGAAGUUUUCAAGAGAUCCCCAUGCGUGCAGGCAAGGCUGGGGUGCCCUCCUGCUGGGGAGGGGACCCCGUGCGUGGAGGUGAGAUGGGGCUUAGCUCUGAAGUUUUCAAGAGAUCCCCAUGCGUGCAGGAUGGCUGGGGUGCCCUCCG